AGCAGCCGCGGUAAUUCCAGCUCCAAUAGCGUAUAUUAAAGUUGUUGCAGUUAAAAAGCUCGUAGUUGAAUUUCGGGAUCAAUAUGUCGGUCGUGCCUCCGGUACGUACUGGCAUCAUUGAUUUCUCCCUUCUGACGAACCAUGAUGUCAUUAAUUUGGUGUCAUGGGGAGUCAGGACUGUUACUUUGAAAAAAUUAGAGUGUUUAAAGCAGGCUCACGCUUGAAUACAUUAGCAUGGAAUAAUGAAAUAGGACGUUUGACCCUAUUUUGUUGGUUUCUAGGAUCGACGUAAUGAUUAAUAGGGAUAGUUGGGGGCAUUAGUAUUCAAUUGUCAGAGGUGAAAUUCUUGGAUUUAUUGAAGACUAACUACUGCGAAAGCAUUUGCCAAGGAUGUUUUCAUUAAUCAAGAACGAAAGUUAGGGGAUCGAAGACGAUCAGAUGCCGUCGUAG
rnacentral:rRNA from 1 species